rnacentral:lncRNA from 1 species
UGAAAGCCAGCCUUUAUGCCACUGGACAGUGGCGUUGCCAUGUACCGCGUGGCAAAAGACCUGCAGCCUGUUCGCUUCAGCUUAUUCAACUGGCUUAUCAGUCACCAAACAGUGUUUUCCUCUCACAAUAAAUCAGCCGUUUCAGCUUUUCAGCCGGCUUAUAAGCUGAAGCGAACAGGCCCCUGGCCAUUAUUGUGUCCUUC